AACGAACGCUGGCGGCAUGCCUAACACAUGCAAGUCGAACGAGACCUUCGGGUCUAGUGGCGCACGGGUGCGUAACGCGUGGGAACCUGCCCUUAGGUUCGGAAUAACUCCCCGAAAGGGGUGCUAAUACCGGAUAAUGUCUUCGGACCAAAGAUUUAUCGCCUUUGGAUGGGCCCGCGUUGGAUUAGCUAGUUGGUAGGGUAAAAGCCUACCAAGGCGACGAUCCAUAGCUGGUCUGAGAGGAUGAUCAGCCACACUGGGACUGAGACACGGCCCAGACUCCUACGGGAGGCAGCAGUGGGGAAUAUUGGACAAUGGGCGAAAGCCUGAUCCGGCAAUGCCGUGUGAGUGAUGAAGGCCUUAGGGUUGUAAAGCUCUUUUACCCGGGAUGAUAAUGACAGUACCGGGAGAAUAAGCUCCGGCUAACUCCGUG
rnacentral:rRNA from 1 species